ACCUGGCUGGCUCAGUUGAUAGAGCAUAUGACUCUUGAUCUUAGAGUUGUGAGUUUGAGCCCCACACUGAGUG
rnacentral:tRNA from 1 species